rnacentral:rRNA from 1 species
UACGUAGGGGGCUAGCGUUGUCCGGAAUCAUUGGGCGUAAAGGGCGCGUAGGCGGCCCGCUAAGUCGAACGUGAAAUCCCCGAGCUCAACUCGGGAACUGCGUCCGAUACUGGCGGGCUUGAAUCCGGGAGAGGGAUGCGGAAUUCCAGGUGUAGCGGUGAAAUGCGUAGAUAUCUGGAGGAACACCGGUGGCGAAGGCGGCAUCCUGGACCGGCAUUGACGCUGAGGCGCGAAAGCUAGGGGAGCAAACGGG